rnacentral:rRNA from 1 species
UACGUAGGGUGCGAGCGUUAAUCGGAAUUACUGGGCGUAAAGCGUGCGCAGGCGGCGGCUCAAGUCAGGUGUGAAAUCCCCCGGGCUUAACCUGGGAAUUGCGCUUGAAACUAGGUCGCUAGAGUGUGGCAGAGGGGGGUGGAAUUCCACGUGUAGCAGUGAAAUGCGUAGAUAUCCGAAGGAACAUCAGUGGCGAAAGCGGCUUCCUGGACCAGAACUGACGAUCAGGCACGAAAGCGUGGGGAGCAAACAGG